AUUGAACGCUGGCGGCAGGCCUAACACAUGCAAGUCGAGCGGAUGAAGGGAGCUUGCUCCUGGAUUCAGCGGCGGACGGGUGAGUAAUGCCUAGGAAUCUGCCUGGUAGUGGGGGAUAACGUCCGGAAACGGGCGCUAAUACCGCAUACGUCCUGAGGGAGAAAGUGGGGGAUCUUCGGACCUCACGCUAUCAGAUGAGCCUAGGUCGGAUUAGCUAGUUGGUGGGGUAAAGGCCUACCAAGCGACGAUCCGUAACUGGUCUGAGAGGAUGAUCAGUCCCACUGGAACUGAGACACGGUCCAGACUCCUACGGGAGGCAGCAGUGGGGAAUAUUGGACAAUGGGCGAAAGCCUGAUCCAGCCAUGCCGCGUGUGUGAAGAAGGUCUUCGGAUUGUAAAGCACUUUAAGUUGGGAGGAAGGGCAGUAAG
rnacentral:rRNA from 1 species